GGAAGUAAAAGUCUAACAAGGUUUCCGUAGGUGAACCUGCGGAAGGAUCAUUAAUGUGUUUGGGCCUCACGGCUCUUCAUUCCGACGCUGUGCGCCUUCGGGCUGCACGCUGAGGGAGCAUAUAUCCACCCCUGUGCACACACACGGUGGCGAGCUGGGUAACGGCUCGCCGCUGAUCUUUACACACGUCUAAAAGUCAUUGUAUGUUUAUUUGAGAUAAAAACACAACUUUCAGCAACGGAUCUCUUGGCUCUC
rnacentral:misc_RNA from 1 species